rnacentral:rRNA from 1 species
GACAGAGGGUGCAAACGUUGUUCGGAAUUACUGGGCGCAAAGCGUGUGUAGGCGGUCCGCUAAGUCGGGUGUGAAAUCCCUGGGCUCAACCCAGGAAGUGCACUCGAAACUGGCGGGCUAGAGUAUCGGAGAGGUUGGUGGAAUUCUCGGUGUAGAGGUGAAAUGCGUAGAUAUCCGGAGGAACACCGGUGGCGAAGGCGGCUUCCUGGACCGACACUGACGCUGAGGCGCGAAAGCUAGGGGAGCAAACGGG